GAUGAACGCUAGCGGCAGGCCUAACACAUGCAAGUCGAGGGAGAAGCCCUUCGGGGCAGAAACCGGCGCACGGGUGCGUAACGCGUAUGCAACCUACCUUUCACAGGGGGAUAGCCCGAAGAAAUUUGGAUUAAUACCCCAUAAUAUUAUUGGGUGGCAUCAUUUGAUAAUUAAAAUUACGAUGGUGAAAGAUGGGCAUGCGUCCUAUUAGCUAGUUGGAGUGGUAACGGCACCCCAAGGCUACGAUAGGUAGGGGUCCUGAGAGGGAGAUCCCCCACACUGGUACUGAGACAGGGACCAGACUCCUACGGGAGGCAGCAGUGAGGAAUAUUGGUCAAUGGUCGGAAGACUGAACCAGCCAUGCCGCGUGCAGGAAGAAUGCCUUAUGGGUUGUAAACUGCUUUUAUAUGGGAAGAAUAAGGAGUACGUGUACUUUGAUGACGGUACCAUAUGAAUAAGCAUCGGCUAACUCCGUGCCAGCAGCCGCGGUAAUACGGAGGAUGCGAGCGUUAUUCGGAAUCAUUGGGUUUAAAGGGUCUGUAGGCGGGCUAUUAAGUCAGGGGUGAAAGGUUUCAGCUUAACUGAGAAAUUGCCUUUGAUACUGGUAGUCUUGAAUAUCUGUGAAGUUCUUGGAAUGUGUAGUGUAGCGGUGAAAUGCUUAGAUAUUACACAGAACACCGAUUGCGGAGGCAGGGGACUAACAGAUGAUUGACGCUGAGAGACGAAAGCGUGGGGAGCGAACAGG
rnacentral:rRNA from 1 species